UGGAAAUGAUGAAAUGGAGGUUACGCGUAGAGGGAUGAGUGUGAAUUGGAGAGCGUGACUGUUUUAUUCAAUACGGAAAGGAAAAAGGUAUAUGUGUGAGAGAGUGAGAGAGAAUAUAUGUGAUGUGUGCAUGCAUUUAGGGCUACAUAAUGAUGCAAACUGUGGACACUGAAAAGAAUUGCUGAUUUUGGAGUGCAUCUGAGGCACAGUUGCUAAAUCAUAGGGCCUUUGCUGCAACAUUGCCUGUGAUUAAAGCCCAAAACAUGUUCUCAGUUUGUUUCUAGAAAUUGUAAACCUCUGACAUGUUCUAAAUGAAUAUGUAAUCUGAUCCAA